rnacentral:rRNA from 1 species
UUUAUACGGCGAAACUGCGAAUGGCUCAUUAAAACAGUUAUAGUUUAUUUGAUAGUCAUCUGAGAUGAAAGUCUACUACAUGGAUAACCGUGGUAAUUCUAUGGCUAAUACAUGCGCAAAUAUCCUUUUUCGCAAGGAAGAGGAUAGUGUUUAUUAGAUACAGAACCAAUACACCAGUGUCACAGCUGGUGUGAAAAAGGUGAUUCAUAGUAACCGAACGGAUCGCAUUAUGGUCAUUCUUUUGUAAUGGCUGGCGAUAGAUCAUUCAAGUUUCUGACCUAUCAGCUUUCGACGGUAGUGUAUUGGACUACCGUGGCAGUGACGGGUAACGGGGAAUUAGGGUUCGAUUCCGGAGAGGGAGCCUGAGAAACGGCUACCACAUCUAAGGAAGGCAGCAGGCGCGCAAAUUACCCAAUCCUGACUCAGGGAGGUAGUGACAAGAAAUAACAACACUGGAAAUUUUAUUUCUAGUGAUUGGAAUGAUGGGAAUUUAAACCCCUUUCAGAGUAACAAUUGGAGGGCAAGUCUGGUGCCAGCAGCCGCGGUAAUUCCAGCUCCAAUAGCGUAUAUUAAAGUUGUUGCAGUUAAAAAGCUCGUAGUUGGAUGUCUGCUGGAAGCAAUCAGUCCGCCCUAUUUGUAGGGUGUGCACUUGAUGAAUUCUGGCAUUUUUGUCCCAAUGAUGUAACGGGGCGGUGGUAUUCGGUGAAAGCCGAGUAUCCUGUUUUCCGAUUAUUGGGAUACUGUUACUUUGAGAAAAUUAGAGUGUUUGAAGCAGGCUAAUUGCCUUGAAUACUGCAGCAUGGAAUAACAAUAUAGGAUUUCGGUUCUAUUUUGUUGGUUUCUAGGACUGAAAUAAUGAUUAAUAGGGACAGUUGGGGGCAUUCGUAUUUAACUGUCAGAGGUGAAAUUCUUAGAUUUGUUAAAGACGAACUA